UACGGAGGGGACAAGUGUUACUCGUCAUAAUUGGGCGUAAAGGGUAUGCAGGUGGUUUUUUAAGUUAAGUGAAAAAGGUUUGAUCAAAAAAUCAUACAAAACAUUUAAUACUGGGAAACUUGAGUUUAAUAGAAGAAUAUGGUACUUAUAUUGUAGAGGUGCAAUUCUUGAAUAAUAUAAGGACCCUCAAAGGCGAAGGCAAUUUUUUAUGUUAAACUGACACUGAGGUACGAAAGCAUAGGGAGCAAACAGG
rnacentral:rRNA from 1 species